GCUGGAUGCUUGCUUAGCUGCUCACUCCUUUCUUUUCAUCUGACACCUGCUUAAGGAGCUCCUUCCAAACACUCUGCUCUGAAUGAAAGAGGGAAAUUCACUGAAGGACGGCUGCAGUAAAGUCUCAACACCAUGGUGGUUUGUCUUGCAAGCGUAUCUGAGUCCGAGGUCGCUGUCCUCCAAGGAUGCCUCUGUUUGGGCUGCUUCUGUCACUGGCCGUCCACAGGUUGUCCCCGGUGGAAGGCCACCAGCAGAGUUACACAGGGAUGAUGGAAGUUCUGACUUCUGCCAAAACUGUCUUGUGUCUUUAUGAAAAGUGCCAGACUUGACAAGCAUCCCUGGUGGCUCAGACGGUAAAGAAUCUGCCUGCGAUGCAGGAGACCUGCGUUUGACCCUUGGGUAAGGGUGAUACCCUAGAGAAGGGAAUGGCAACCCCCUCCAUUGCCUGGGAAAUCCCAUGGACAGAGGAGCCCCAAGGGCUACAGUCCAUGGAGUCACAAAGAGAGCUACAGUCUGAAGAGUCUGGCGGUGUGUGGUGAGGAGUGUCUGUUACUGCAGGAUGCUUAGUUCCCACGGGGACUCCGGAGCCCACGGCCCUUGGUAGCUGUUGGUGAGACCAGCUGUGGUACACAGCUGCCCCAGGACGUGGUGUGACCUCAGCCAACGCUGCUUUCUUUAGCGGUGGGCAGUUCCUGGAGGCGACCCAGGUAGGGGCUCUGUCUUCGGGGGAUUCAGCUGAGAAAGGUUAGACUCUGAAGCCUAGGAAUCAGUUCUUCCCACGGCAUGACCUGAACGUCAGCCUGGCUCUGGAGCGGCCACAGGCUAGGAGCAUCGAGAGGCAACUCAUUUCAUCUCCAAUGUUUGCAGGCACAGGAGACUGCCAGAGGCCCACAGACAGCCCUCUCGGCCCUGCGUUCCUCUCUGUGGCCGUGAACUUGGUGGGCUUAUGACCUUCUGCCCUGGCAGGCCCCAAUUCUACCAGCAGUCAGCAUUAUUUGGUGAUCUAAAAUUUAGUCUUCAUUUUGUUUCAGUUCAGAGUAACUAGGCUUUGUACCAACUGCUCUGAACCCUCCUCGUUGCGAGAGGCCUUAUGGAGGCAGUUGGCUUAUGGGAGGUGCGUUAACACUCAUUGUGCCCUGUUCGCCCUCUUCGUAAGGUGCGCGUCUUACUGGCGGCCACCAGGGUUCCCAUGGCUGCAACCCAAUCUGUCCCUCCAUGCAAAUCUGGGAGGUGAGCUCAAGAACUAUUCUGAAGUCUUUGGUCAGGCUUGCAGAGUAGCGCUUUAUUCUACCAUUAACCCAACCUCACAGGUCACGGGGGCCUAUGAGCAUCUUAGAGGGGCCCGAAGCUGGCGACUGAGUGCCCUUUUUCUUUCUUAGAGGCACACAACCCGUCUGGGUUAGAAUCCUGGCCCUGCCGUGGGACCGUCGGCAAGAUAACGCACCUCUCUGUGCCUUGGGCUCCUCCUGUCUAACGGGAGCAGCAGUGGCUUCUAGCUCAGAAAGCUGGGACUAGCACAUGGGGGGAUCCCACACACUUAGCUGCUGUUACCAUCAUCCCCGCUGCGGGGUGGGGAGCACGCUAGCCUCAGGGGAGCUGGUUGCGGUAUCAGCGCCAGAUCCAGACUAGAGCUCAGGGGUCGUGACAAUCACCUUUUCUUUAUUUUCAAAGUGAAAUGUUUACAGCUGUUGUAAAAAGGCAGGUUCCUGAGCACCCCUUGUCACCGUGGAGG